UACGUAGGGUGCGAGCGUUGUCCGGAAUUACUGGGCGUAAAGAGCUCGUAGGUGGUUUGUCGCGUUGUCCGUGAAAACUCACAACUCAAUUGUGGGCGUGCGGGCGAUACGGGCAGACUGGAGUACUGCAGGGGAGACUGGAAUUCCUGGUGUAGCGGUGGAAUGCGCAGAUAUCAGGAGGAACACCGGUGGCGAAGGCGGCUCGCUGGACCGCAACUGACGCUGAGGAACGAAAGCUAGGGGAGCAAACAGG
rnacentral:rRNA from 1 species